AUGGAUGCCUGGUUGUGUGCGACGGAUGCAGUUCUCACGCGCAAGCUAGGGUUGGAGCCGCCAGCUCUUCAUCCUGCCCGCCGGCGGCGAGUCUUCCCGUCCCGUACUGCCGCCUCCCCGUUAUCACAGGAAGGUUAUCCUUUCUUCAAGGACUGGAAGUUUCCUGGUAAGUGUUCCUUUUUCUUAAAAACUCUGUGUUUGUUUGCUGUAAUAUUUUGUUUACAUCAGGUUUCUCUUUCCUUUUGUGGGCAUAAUGGGCGAGACAAUAAUAUUCAGAAAGUUGUUGUUUUAGGGAAACUGCUAACUCCAUAUGUCAGACCCAUAUCAUUGUUGAGCAUGCAUAGUGUUCCUAUGUCAUUUCUAUGA
rnacentral:rRNA from 1 species